GUUUGAUCCUGGCUCAGGACGAACGCUGGCGGCGUGCUUAAUACAUGCAAGUCAAGGAGAACGUUUCCUUCGGGAAAUUAUUAAACUGGCGAACGGGUGAGUAACACGUAGGUAACCUGCCUUGAAGAUUGGGAUAACUCCGGGAAACCGGAGCUAAUACCGAAUAAUGCAACGAAUCCUUUGGGAUAUGUUGUUAAAGCGGGCUUCGGCUCGCACUUUAAGAUGGGCCUGCGUCCGAUUAGCUUGUUGGUGAGGUAAUGGCUCACCAAGGCGAUGAUCGGUAGCUGGUCUGAGAGGAUGAUCAGUCACACUGGGAUUGAGAUACGGCCCAGACUCCUACGGGAGGCAGCAGUGGGGAAUUUUGCGCAAUGGGCGAAAGCCUGACGCAGCAACGCCGCGUGAUCGAUGAAGCUUUUCGGAGUGUAAAGAUCUGUCGUGAGGGAAGAAUACCUUGGAUGCAAAUAGUUUUCAAGUCUGACGGUACCUUAAUAAGAAGGUCCGGCUAACUUCGUGCCAGCAGCCGCGGUAAUGCGAAGGGACCUAGCGUAGUUCGGAAUUACUGGGCUUAAAGAGUUCGUAGGGGGUUAAAAAAGUUGGUGGUGAAAUCCCAGAGCUUAACUCUGGAACUGCCAUCAAAACUUUUUAGCUAGAGUAUGAUAGAGUAAAGCAGAAUUUCUAGGGUAGAGGUGAAAUUCGUAGAUAUUAGAAAGAAUACCGAUUGCGAAGGCAGCUUUCUGGAACAUUACUGACACUGAGGAACGAAAGCAUGGGUAGCGAAGAGGAUUAGAUACCCUCGUAGUCCAUGCUGUAAACGAUGUGUGUUAGACGUUGGAAAUUUAUUUUCAGUGUCGCAGCAAAAGCGAUAAACACUCCGCCUGGGGAGUACGACCGCAAGGUUAAAACUCAAAUGAAUUGGCGGGGACCCGCACAAGUAGUGGAGCAUGUGGUUUAAUUCGAAGAUACGCGCAGGACCUUACCAACACUUGACAUGUUCGUCGCGACUCUAAGAGAUUAGAGUUUUCGGUUCGGCCGGACGAAACACAGGUGCUGCAUGGCUGUCGUCAGCCCGUGUCGUGAGAUGUUGGGUUAAGUCCCGCAACGAGCGCAACCCCUAUCAUUAUUUGCCAGCACGUUAUGGUGGGAACUUUAAUGAGACUGCCGGUGACAAACCGGAGGAAGGGGGGGACGACGUCAAGUCAUCAUGGCCCUUAUGGGCAGGGCUACACACGUGCUACAAUGGCUAAUACAAUGGGCAGCCAACCCGCGAGGGGGAGCCAAUCCAGUAAAAUUAGUCUCAGUCCGGAUCGAAGUCUGCAACUCGACUUCGUGAAGUUGGAAUCGCUAGUAAUCGUAUAUCAGCAAUGGUACGGUGAAUACGUUCUCGGGUCUUGUACACACCGCCCGUCACACCAUGGAAGUUGGUUGCACCAGAAGUGAUUAGUCUAACCUUUGGGAGGACGUUCACCACGGUGUGGUCAAUGACUAGGGUGAAGUCGUAACAAGGUAGCC
rnacentral:rRNA from 1 species